UACAGAGGGUGCGAGCGUUGUCCGGAAUCACUGGGCGUAAAGGGCGCGUAGGUGGCGCGACAAGUCAGUGGUGAAAGCUCGGCGCUCAACGCCGAGUCGGCCACUGAUACUGUUGGGCUUGAGCACUGUAGAGGCUAAUGGAAUUCCGGGUGUAGCGGUGGAAUGCGUAGAGAUCCGGAAGAACACCGGUGGCGAAGGCGGUAGCUGGGCAGUGCUGGACACUGAGGCGCGACAGCGUGGGGAGCAAACAGG
rnacentral:rRNA from 1 species